CUCGUUAAAGCUAGCCGGGAGAAUUUUGACUUGGAAUCUGAGUUAGCCAAGAUUAGAGAGACUAUUGAAAAAACUCAACGGAACUAAGUUCUUUCUCCUUCCGCGGCUGAAGCUUAUGAAAAUGUUGAAAUUCAUACGGGUAUCCCCACUACUUCAAGCCAAGUUGAACCCGCUGUUGUAAGCCAAGUUGAGCCUGUUGCUGCUGAUGUACCUGUUUCAAUUCCUCCAUCUUCUUAGUGACAAGUUCAAGUUAUUUGAAUUUCUUUAUGUUGUUUUUUUACUUGGAAAAUUG
rnacentral:lncRNA from 1 species